rnacentral:lncRNA from 1 species
AACUCAUGUAAUAUAUUGAAUAUAUUUUUUACAUAUAUAUUCAUUUUAUCUAAUCUGACUUUGCAGUGUUGCCUUUGACUGUUUCAAGUACAGAAAGGGGAGGCUGGGGAAAGGAAGGCUUCAUUUCAACCCCUGUCUUCUCACUGUGCCUGCACAUUUUACAAGAGGU